ACGCGUGAGGAACCUGCCUUUCAGAGGGGGACAACAGUUGGAAACGACUGCUAAUACCGCAUGACACAUAGAUGUCGCAUGGCAUUUAUGUCAAAGAUUUAUCGCUGAAAGAUGGCCUCGCGUCUGAUUAGCUAGUUGGUGAGGUAACGGCCCACCAAGGCGACGAUCAGUAGCCGGACUGAGAGGUUGAACGGCCACAUUGGGACUGAGAUACGGCCCAGACUCCUACGGGAGGCAGCAGUGGGGAAUAUUGGGCAAUGGGCGCAAGCCUGACCCAGCAACGCCGCGUGAAGGAAGAAGGCUUUCGGGUUGUAAACUUCUUUUGUCAGGGACGAGUAGAAGACGGUACCUGACGAAUAAGCCACGGCUAACUACGUGCCAGCAGCCGCGGUAAUACGUAGGUGGCAAGCGUUGUCCGGAUUUACUGGGUGUAAAGGGCGUGUAGCCGGGAGGGCAAGUCAGAUGUGAAAUCCACGGGCUCAACUCGUGAACUGC
rnacentral:rRNA from 1 species